GCUUACUGCCAUACCACCCUGAACACACAUGAUCCCGUCUGAUCGCGGAAGCUAACCAGGUUAGACCUGGGAUGGAAGACCGCCUUGGAAUACCAGGUACUUAAAGCU
rnacentral:rRNA from 1 species